rnacentral:rRNA from 1 species
AGAGUUUGAUCCUGGCUCAGAUUGAACGCUGGCGGAAUGCUUUACACAUGCAAGUCGGGCGGCAGCAUGGACUUCGGUCUGAUGGCGAGCGGCGAACGGGUGAGUAAUGCAUCGGAACGUACCCAGUCGUGGGGGAUAACCACUCGAAAGAGUGGCUAAUACCGCAUACGUCCUACGGGAGAAAGCAGGGGCUCGCAAGACCUUGCGCGAUUGGAGCGGCCGAUGUCUGAUUAGCUAGUUGGUGGGGUAAAGGCCCACCAAGGCGUCGAUCAGUAGCGGGUCUGAGAGGAUGAUCCGCCACACUGGGACUGAGACACGGCCCAGACUCCUACGGGAGGCAGCAGUGGGGAAUUUUGGACAAUGGGCGCAAGCCUGAUCCAGCCAUUCCGCGUGAGUGAAGAAGGCCUUCGGGUUGUAAAGCUCUUUCAGCCGGAACGAAACGGUCCGCUCUAACAUAGCGGGCUACUGAC